rnacentral:pre_miRNA from 9 species
ACUCAAUAGCGUAAAAGUUAACUCUAAUUUUUAUGUAAUUCGAACGUUUGCCUACGUUUGCCGCUAGGGGCGCUGUUCCGACUACAUACAAAUUUGAGUUAACUUUUACGCUGUCGA